rnacentral:rRNA from 1 species
AACGGGGGGGACAAGCGUUAUUCAUCAGGACUGGGCGUAAAGGAUUUGUAGACGGCCAAGAGACAGUUUGGGAAUGAAAAGCAUACGGCUCAACUGUAUGUCAAUUUCCUUAAAUAUUAGACUCUUGUGCUUUGAGUUUCUGUGGGGGACGGUGGUAUUCUUGGUGUAAAGGUAGAAUUUGUCGAUAUCAAUGGAGACCAUCAAUUGGCGAAGGCAACCGUCUAUGGGAAACUGACGUUGAGGGAUGAAAGUGUGGGGGGAGCAAACAGG